rnacentral:rRNA from 1 species
UACGUAGGGGGCAAGCGUUAUCCGGAUUUACUGGGUUUAAAGGGUGUGUAGGCGGACUUUUAAGUCAGCGGUGAAAUCUCCGGGCUCAACCCGGAACUGCCAUUGAUACUAUUGGUCUUGAAUGUUGUUGAGGUGGGCGGAACGGGUCAUGUAGCGGUGAAUGCAUAGAUAUGACCCGGAACACCGAUUGCGUAGGCAGCCCACUAAGCAACGAUUGACGCUGAGGCACGAAAGCGUGGGGAUCAAACAGG